rnacentral:rRNA from 1 species
GACGAACGCUGGCGGCGUGCCUAAUACAUGCAAGUCGAACGCAGUGGGGACGGGUUAGUAACACGUGGCUAACCUCCCAUCAGAGGGGAUAACACUUGGACACAGGUGCCAAACCGAUAUUGAUUGAUGGACCCGCGGUGCAUUAGCUAGUUGGUGAGGUAACGGCUCACCAAGGCGACGAUGCAUAGCCGACCGGAGAGGGUGAUGGGCCACAUGGGAACUGAGACACGGUCCAGACGCCUACGGGAGGCAGCAGUAGGGAAUCGUCGGAAAUGGACGAAAGCCUGAGCGAGCAACGCCGCGGGAGUGAAGAAGGUUUUCGGAUGGUAAAGCACUGUUGUUAGGGAAGCGGUAUCUAACGAAAACGCCACGGCUAACUACGUGCCAGCAGCCGCGGUAAUUC